UCGCAUGGGCGCAGCCUGACGGAGCACGCCGCGUGGAGGAGGAAGGCCUUCGGGUCGUCAACUUCUUUUCUCGGAGAAGAAACUGAGAGUGUCUCUGAGGAAUAGGCCUCCGCUAUCCCUGCGCC
rnacentral:rRNA from 1 species